UCCCUGGUGGCUCAGUCGGUAAAGCAUCUGUCUUCAAUGCGGGAGACCUGGGUUCGAUCCCUGGGUCGGGAA
rfam:TPA: Bos taurus chromosome 20, whole genome shotgun sequence.